rnacentral:rRNA from 1 species
UACGGAGGGGGCUAGCGUUGUUCGGAAUUACUGGGCGUAAAGCGCGCGUAGGCGGACCUGCAAGUCGGGGGUGAAAGCCCGAGGCUCAACCUCGAGAGGUCGGUGGAAACCGUCUGGCUAGAGUCCGGAAGAGGAGAGUGGAAUUCCCGGUGUAGCGGUGAAAUGCGCAGAUAUCGGGAAGAACACCCGUGGCGAGGGCGGCUCUCUGGGACGGUACUGACGCUGAGACGCGAAAGCGUGGGGAGCGAACAGG